GCCAGCAGCCAUAUCACCCUGCAACUCACAACUGGCAGCCCACUGGAGCCCAGCAGGUGUGAGCCUGGUCAGUACCUGGAUGGGAGACCUCCUGGGAAAAACUAAGGCUGCUGCUGGAA
rnacentral:rRNA from 1 species